CCUACGGGUGGCAGCAGUGAGGAAUAUUGGUCAAUGGACGAGAGUCUGAACCAGCCAAGUAGCGUGAGGGAUGACUGCCCUAUGGGUUGUAAACUUCUUUUAUAUGGGAAUAAAACGAUCCACGUGGGGGAUUUUGUAUGUACCAUAUGAAUAAGGAUCGGCUAACUCCGUGCCAGCAGCCGCGGUAAUACGGAGGAUCCUAGCGUUAUCCGGAUUUAUUGGGUUUAAAGGGAUCGUAGGUGGAGUGUUAAGUCAGUUGUGAAAGUUUGCGGCUCAAACGUAAAAUUGCAGUUGAAACUGGGAGUCUUGAGUACAGUAGAGGUAGGCGGAAUUCGUGGUGUAGCGGUGAAAUGCUUAGAUAUCACGAAGAACUCCGAUUGCGAAGGCAGUUCACUGGACUGCAACUGACACUGAGGCUCGAAAGUGUGGGUAUCAAACAGGAUUAGAUACCCUGGUAGUC
rnacentral:rRNA from 1 species